rnacentral:rRNA from 1 species
GAUUGACCUCGGAUCAGGUAGGGAUACCCGCUGAACUUAAGCAUAUCAAUAAGCGGAGGAAAAGAAACCAACAGGGAUUGCCUCAGUAACGGCGAGUGAAGCGGCAACAGCUCAAAUUUGAAAUCUGGUCCUUUCAGGGCCCGAGUUGUAAUUUGUAGAGGAUGUUUCGGGUGCGGCGCGGGUCUAAGUCCUUUGGAACAGGGCGUCAUAGAGGGUGAGAAUCCCGUAUGUGACCCGUGAUCAAGCCCAUGUGAAACCCCUUCGACGAGUCGAGUUGUUUGGGAAUGCAGCUCAAAAUGGGUGGUAAAUUUCAUCUAAAGCUAAAUACCGGCCAGAGACCGAUAGCGCACAAGUAGAGUGAUCGAAAGAUGAAAAGCACUUUGGAAAGAGAGUCAAAAAGUACGUGAAAUUGUUGAAAGGGAAGCGCUUGCAACCAGACCUGUCCGCAGGCGAUCAACUCCCGUUCUCGGGGGUGCACUCGUCUGUGAUCAGGCCAGCAUCGGUUCGGGCGGUCGGAUAAAGGCCUUGGGAAUGUAGCUCCUUCCGGGGAGUGUUAUAGCCCUCGGUGCAAUGCGGCCAGCCCGGACCGAGGACCGCGCCUUCGGGCUAGGAUGCUGGCGUAAUGGUUGUAAGCGACCCGUCUUGAAACACGGACCAAGGAGUCUAACAUCUAUGCAAGUGUUUGGGUGUCAAACCCAUGCGCGUAAUGAAAGUGAACGGAGGUGAGAACCCUUAAGGGCGCAUCAUCGACCGAUCCAGAUGUCUUCGGAUGGAUUUGAGUAUGAGCAUAGCUGUUGGGACCCGAAAGAUGGUGAACUAUGCCUGAAUAGGGUGAAGCCAGGGGAAACCCUGGUGGAGGCUCGCAGCGGUUCUGACGUGCAAAUCGAUCGUCAAAUUUGGGUAUAGGGGCGAAAGACUAAUCGAACCAUCUAGUAGCUGGUUCCUGCC